AAGGAGUCUAACAUGUAUGCGAGUAUUUAGGUGGCAAGCCUUGGAGGGAAAAGGAAAUGGAAGGUGGGAUAUUUGCACUAUUGAGCGGCAUGGUUUUCUUUGAAGGGUCCGAGUAAGAGCAUGCUUGCUGGGACCCGAAAGAUGGUGAACUAUGCCUGAAUAGGGUGAAGCCAGAGGAAACUCUGGUGGAGUCUCGUAGCGAUUCUGACGCGCAAAUCGUUCGUCAAAUUUGGGUAUAGGGGCGAAAGACUAAUCGAACCAUCUAGUAGCUGGUUCCCUC
rnacentral:misc_RNA from 1 species